rnacentral:rRNA from 1 species
CCCUUAGAUGUCCGGGGCUGCACGCGCGCUACACUGAAGGAAUCAGCGUGCUAAAACCAUUGUCGAAAGGCAUUGGUAAACCCAUUAAAAUCCUACGUGAUUGGGAUCGGGAAUUGCAAUUAUUUCCCUUGAACGAGGAAUUCCCAGUAAGUGUGGGUCAUAAGCUCGCUUUGAUUACGUCCCUGCCCUUUGUACACACCGCCCGUCGCUGCCCGGGACUGAGCCGUUUCGAGAAAAGCGGGGACUGCUGCUGUCGGGGCUUUCGGGCCUUGGCUUCGGUGGAAACCGCUUUAAUCGCAGUGGCUUGAACCGGGCAAAAGUCGUAACA